UUUCAUUUUGAAGACUUGUGGAAGAGCCUUCCCUGUUCUCUGCACCAGAUGUCUAUUAGAGAUCCAGCAUUGUUGUGAUGAAGCUAUGUGAAAUGUUCCCUAAUUGGACUGGAAAUAUUAACAAGACAUACUGCAUUUAAAUGGUCUGCUGAUAUGCUUAAACAUGACAGCGUCAAAAUAUUACCCCAAGUAAAUGUCACUCUCACUAUGCAGGCUAGUCAGUAUA